rnacentral:rRNA from 1 species
GGCGAUCAGAUACCGCCCUAGUUCUAACCGUAAACGAUGACAACCAGCGAUUAAUCGGCGUUAAUAUACGACCCGAUUAGCAGCUUCCGGGAAACCAAAGUUUUUCGUUUCCGGGGGAAGUAUGGUUGCAAAGCUGAAACUUAAAGGAAUUGACGGAAGGGCACCACCAGGAGUGGAGCCUGCGGCUUAAUUUGACUCAACACGGGAAAACUCACCCGGCCCGGACACUGUAAGGAUUGACAGACUGAGAGCUCUUUCUUAAUUCAGUGGGUGGUGGUGCAUGGCCGUUCUUAGUUGGUGGAGCGAUUUGUCUGGUUAAUUCCGAUAACGAACGAGACUCUGGCCUAUUAAAUAGACGAGAUAUUCUAAAGUAUCUCGCGCUUCUUAGAGGGACAAGCGGCGUCUAGUCGCAUGAAAAAGAGCAAUAACAGGUCUGUGAUGCCCUUAGAUGUCCGGGGCUGCACGCGCGCUACACUGAAAGAAUCAGUGGGCGUUAUACCUGGUUCGGAAGAACUGGGUAACCCAAGUAAUUUCUUUCGUGCUUGGGAUAGGGAAUUGCAAUUAUUUCCCUUAAACGAGGAAUUCCCAGUAAACGCGGGUCAUAAGCUCGUGUUGAUUACGUCCCUGCCCUUUGUA